AUGCUAUGCUGACAGUUACCGGAUUUGGCACUGCAACACUAUAAGUAGAGAGAACCUCCUUGUUCCAUCCAAACGCCACUUCCUUCUGCCUUAGAGUGCCUUCCCUUUCGCAGAGAUAUCAGAGGAAACUGCUGCCAUGAGGUUCCUCUACCUGAGCUUAACUCUGGUCUCCAUCCUCUUCCACGUUGUUGCAGGGCAACGUUUAUGUGAAUUAUUUGGAGGAUCUUGCCAAUUCCCAGCAACUACAAACUGUACCUAUGAAGAAAUCACAGGGGCCUCCUGUGGCGACAAUGGAAUCUGCUGUAGUAACAAACAUCCGGACUAUGGACCCAGCAGAAGAAUCUUGGGAA